UCGAGUUCGAGCAUGUAUCUUGCUUGAAUCGGCUAAAACCGGUAAAUGUUAUUAGCAAAUAGCCAAAUAGCUUUUGUUUAUAUCAUGGUUUAUAUACUGCCACUCCAGCCACCAGCCAACUAUACUCUCCAGCCAGUCCAGCGUCCAGCCAUUAACAUUUAUCCAGAAAUACAGUGAAUCACAAGAAGAGUGGCUCACAGAAUUUGCAUUUCAGGGAAGUGUACUAAAUUUGAAAAACUAUCCGUCACAUCCAGAUUCCUUCAAGGAGGAGAAAAAUUGGUCGUUAAAUUGGACAAAUCAAACACAGGCUACAACAGCUGGAUGAAUUUUAAGAGCAUGUGAGUGAACACAAGGCCUGGGAUUUAGAUCAAAGAGUCAAAGCCCUAAAAACUAAUUCAGUGCUCUAUUAUUCUGUUUUAAACUCACCCCUUUGCUUUUUAUCUGAGCAAAUUUGUCCUCAUUACAUAUAUUCUUCAUAAUUUUGGUUAACUGGUUGUUUGAAGGCAUUGCUGAUAAAGAUAUUAGGCUUGUUGGUUUAGGAAAUUGGAUACAUCUACACUGGUUUCUCCCAGUAUUGGCAGUGAGAAAAUGUCUGGGAAACCACUAAGGGCAAGAUCAACAACUGUGAAGGAAUGGAUCAAGGCGUUGGCCCAUCAUCUAUGGCAUGUCAUUUCCCCGGUUGGGACCAUCACCUUGCUCGAGUACGAGGCCUCUUGUGGAAUAUCGUCAAAUCUCUGCCAAUGAGCCAUCUCCUUCCUAUUCAUCAACAUGUACUUCGUUGAGAGACUUGGAGAGUUGGAAAAUUGUAGCCUCUGGCAUUAGGCCAUUUUUGUCGCGAUGCAUUUGAAAUCGUCACCAUCUUUUGCGUUUGUCGCGUAGCGUUUGUGGAAGACAUCCUCGGCCGUCAUAUCGGACAAGAAAAAUACGAGCAGUGCGAGCGUUUCCUCGUCGAAAAACUUUGCGUUCCGUCUCAGUGGAUUGAUAAAUGUCGGGCAGUUAAGGCGCUCUAUGCCCAAGCACACGACGUAAUUUGUGAUGAACUUGCUCCGGAAGCUAUCCUGUCUGAAACCUAUCUGGAGUUAGAGGAACUCUUGGCUCUCUUGGCUGACCCGGAACGAUUCAGUACGAUUGCCGAUUGGUACCCAAUAGGGGCAAAGUUCAUUGGAAUUAUAUCGCAGUCGUAAAACACGUAGAUGGAAUUUAAAAGCAGGUAAGAGAAUACUUUUGUUUUUUUCUUUCUUU